AUUCCGGAGAGGGAGCCUGAGAAACGGCUACCACAUCUACGGAAGGCAGCAGGCGCGUAAAUUACCCAAUCCUGAUUCAGGGAGGUAGUGACAAGAAAUAACAACUCGGGGCCUCACGGCUUACGAGAUUGCAAUGAGAACAAUUUAAAUCUCUUAGCGAGGAACAAUUGGAGGGCAAGUCUGGUGCCAGCAGCCGCGGUAAUUCCAGCUCCAAUAGCGUAUAUUAAAGUUGUUGCAGUUAAAAAGCUCGUAGUUGAAUUUCUGAUUAUGGAUGUAGCGGUUUCCGUUACAUUUGUAGUCAUCCACAUGAGAACCUUUCUCGGCCUUCACUGGUCGGUUGGGGGAUCAUGUACUUUACUUUGAAAAAAUCAGAGUGUUUCAGGCAGGCGUUUGCAUGAAUACACAAGCAUGGAAUAAUGGAAUAGGACUAGGGUCCAUUUUAUUGGUUAUUGGACCAUAGUAAUGAUUAAUAGGG
rnacentral:rRNA from 1 species